rnacentral:rRNA from 1 species
UACGUAGGUGGCAAGCGUUGUCCGGAAUUAUUGGGCGUAAAGCGCGCGCAGGUGGUUUCUUAAGUCUGAUGUGAAAGCCCACGGCUCAACCGUGGAGGGUCAUUGGAAACUGGGGAACUUGAGUGCAGAAGAGGAAAGUGGAAUUCCAAGUGUAGCGGUGAAAUGCGUAGAGAUUUGGAGGAACACCAGUGGCGAAGGCGGCUCGCUGGGCCGGACCUGACGCUGAGGCGCGAAGGCGUGGGAGCG